rnacentral:snoRNA from 1 species
GGAUUGACGAUGACUUUAAAAAAUAAAAAAACUCAUUGAAAUCUGAAAAAAAUGAGUGACCAAACCACUUCUGUGAGCUGAGGUCC